AUUGAACGCUAGCGGGAUGCCUUACACAUGCAAGUCGAACGGAGUGGCGAACGGGUGAGUAAUGUAUCGGAACGUGCCCAUUAGCGGGGGAUAACUACGCGAAAGCGUAGCUAAUACCGCAUACUAUUGGAACAGACGCUAUCGGAUUAGCUAGUUGGUGGGGUACAGGCUCAACAAGGCGACGAUCCGUAGCUGGUUUGAGAGGACGACCAGCCACACUGGGACUGAGACACGGCCCAUACUCCUACGGGAGUCACCAGUGGGGAAUUUUGGACAAUGGGGGAAACCCUGAUCCAGCCAUCCCGCGUGUGCGAUGAAGGCCUUCGGGUUGUAAAGCACUUUUGGCAGGAAAGCGGUACCUGCAGAAUAAGCACCGGCUAACUACGUGCCAGCCGCCGCGGUAAUAC
rnacentral:rRNA from 1 species